rnacentral:rRNA from 1 species
GUAGUCAUAUGCUUGUCUCAAAGAUUAAGCCAUGCAUGUCUAAGUAUAAGCAAUUAUACCGUGAAACUGCGAAUGGCUCAUUAAAUCAGUUAUCGUUUAUUUGAUAGUACCUUACUACUUGGAUAACCGUGGUAAUUCUAGAGCUAAUACAUGCUAAAAACCCCGACUUCGGGAGGGGUGUAUUUAUUAGAUAAAAAACCAAUGCCCUUCGGGGCUCUUUGGUGAUUCAUGAUAACUUAACGGAUCGCAUGGCCUUGUGCCGGCGACGGUUCAUUCAAAUUUCUGCCCUAUCAACUUUCGAUGGUAAGGUAUUGGCUUACCAUGGUUUCAACGGGUAACGGGGAAU